GCCACGAUGGCCUAGUGGAUAAGGCACUGGGCUGUGACCCUUGUGGUCCCGGGUUCCGAUCCCCGGCCGCGGCA
rnacentral:tRNA from 1 species